rnacentral:rRNA from 1 species
UACGUAGGGUGCGAGCGUUAAUCGGAUUUACUGGGCGUAAAGCGUGCGCAGGCGGCCCGUUAAGACAGAUGUGAAAUCCCUGGGCUCAACCUAGGAAUUGCGCUUGUGACUGGCGGGCUCGACUACGGUAGAGGGCGGUGGAAUUCCUGGUGUAGCAGUGAAAUGCGUAGAGAUCAGGAGGAACACCGAUGGCGAAGGCAGCCCCCUGGGCCUGUACUGACGCUCAUGCACGAAAGCGUGGGGAGCAAACAGG